rnacentral:rRNA from 1 species
CCUACGGGAGGCAGCAGUGAGGAAUAUUGGUCAAUGGACGAGAGUCUGAACCAGCCAAGUAGCGUGAAGGAUGACUGCCCUAUGGGUUGUAAACUUCUUUUAUAAAGGAAUAAAACGAGGCACGUGUGCCUUUUUGCAUGUACUUUAUGAAUAAGGAUCGGCUAACCCCGUGCCAGCAGCCGCGGUAAUACGGAGGAUCCGAGCGUUAUCCGGAUUUAUUGGGUUUAAAGGGAGCGUAGAUGGGUUGUUAAGUCAGUUGUGAAAGUUUGCGGCUCAACCGUAAAAUUGCAAUUGAUAAUGGCAGUCGUGAGUACAGUUGAGGUAGGCGGAAUUCGUGGUGUAGCGGUGAAAUGCUUAGAUAUCACGAAGAACCCCGAUUGCGAAGGCAGCUUACUAAGCUGUGACUGACAUUGAUGCUCGAAAGUGUGGGUAUCAAACAGGAUUAGAUACCCCAGUAGUC